GGGGUUGUAGUUCAGUGGUAGAAUUCUUGCCUCCCAUGCAUGAGGCCCUGGGUUCAAUCCUCAACACCACA
rnacentral:tRNA from 1 species